AUUGAACGCUGGCGGCAUGCCUUACACAUGCAAGUCGAACGGCAGCGGGCCUUCGGGUGCCGGCGAGUGGCGAACGGGUGAGUAAUGCAUCGGAACGUGCCAUUGAGUGGGGGAUAACGUAGCGAAAGUUACGCUAAUACCGCAUAUUCUGUGAGCAGGAAAGCAGGGGGACCGCAAGGGCCUUGCGCUCUUUGAGCGGCCGAUGUCAGAUUAGCUAGUUGGUGAGGUAAAGGCUUACCAAGGCGACGAUCUGUAGCGGGUCUGAGAGGAUGAUCCGCCACACUGGAACUGAGACACGGUCCAGACUCCUACGGGAGGCAGCAGUGGGAAUUUUGGACAAUGGGCGCAAGGCCUGAUCCAGCCAUGCCGCGUGAGUGAAGAA
rnacentral:rRNA from 1 species